rnacentral:rRNA from 1 species
GACGAACGUUGGCGGCGUGCUUAAUACAUGCAAGUCAACUGAAGCAGUGGUAGCAAUAUCGCUGUGGAGGUGGCGCACGGGUGAGUAACACGUAGGUAAUCUGCCUUCAGGUCUGGCAUAACUCCGGGAAACCGGGGCUAAUAGCAGAUGAUGCAGCGGCUCGACAUCGAGACAGUUGUUAAAGCUAUGGCGCCUGAAGAUGAGCCUGCGUCUGAUUAGCUAGUUGGCGGGGUAACGGCCCACCAAGGCAACGAUCAGUAGCUGGUCUGAGAGGAUGAUCAGCCACACUGGAACGGAGACACGGCCCAGACUCCUACGGGAGGCAGCAGUAAGGAAUAUUGCUCAAUGGGAGAAAUCCUGAAGCAGCAACGCCGCGUGAGGGACGAAGGGCUUUUGCUUGUAAACCUCUGUAGUGAGAGAAAAAAAUCCCAAUCUUUGGGACAUGAUGGUAUCUCAAAAGUAAGCCCCGGCUAACUACGUG